ACUUGGAUAACCGUAGUAAUUCUAGAGCUAAUACAUGCAUUAAAUCUCGACUAUUAUGGAAGAGAUGUAUUUAUUAGAUAUCAACCAACCCUCUUCGGAGGUUUUAGGUGAGUCAUAAUAACUUUGCGAAUCGCAGCGACAUUUGUCGGCGAUGAAUCAUUCAAGUUUCUGCCCUAUCAGCUUUCGAUGGUAGUGUAUUGGACUACCAUGGCGGUGACGGGUAACGGAGAAUUAGGGUUCGAUUCCGGAGAGGGAGCCUGAGAGAUGGCUACCACAUCCAAGGAAGGCAGCAGGCGCGUAAAUUACCCAAUCCCAAUUCGGGGAGGUAGUGACAAUAAAUAUCAAUGCGGGGCCCUUCGGGUCUUGCAAUUGGAAUGAGUACAAUUUAAAUCCCUUAACGAGGAUCCAUU
rnacentral:rRNA from 1 species